UACGAAGGGGGCAAGCGUUGUUCGGAAUUACUGGGCGUAAAGGGCGCGCAGGCGGCCAUUCAAGUCAGAUGUGAAAGCCCCGGGCUCAACCUGGGAAUAGCAUUUGGGACUGGGUGGCUAGAGUUCGGGAGAGGAGAGUGGAAUUCCCAGUGUAGAGGUGAAAUUCGUAGAUAUUGGGAAGAACACCAGUGGCGAAGGCGGCUCUCUGGACCGACACUGACGCUGAGGCGCGAAAGCGUGGGGAGCAAACAGG
rnacentral:rRNA from 1 species